rnacentral:lncRNA from 1 species
GGGGAGGAGACCGCUAAACAGCCAAUCGGCGCGCAGCCCAUCAGCUGACCGCUUUUGCUUACACCAGGUGCACGCCGGCUGCGGGGAGCACAAAGCGGGGCGCACGGAGGGCGCGGGCAGCAAGCCGUGAAGCCAGGCGAGGGCCGUGCGCCCCGGUUUGCAGCGCUUGCCGGGCGGGGACCGGGGCCCGCGGCGUCCUCCCAGACAGUGGCAUCCUUGCCACCGCACUCCGAGGUGCCUCGGGCGCCUUCCUUGAGACCGAUCCUUCGCUGCCCCGCCCUCUGCACCCCAUUUCUUCUACCCUCUUUCCUAUUCCCGCCUGUCUCUACCACGAUCCCCAAGAACGCGAUUUAGCCCAGCCCGCGCAGCAGCUGUUGCUCCCGCGGCUGUCUCGCCUUGCAUCUUGGUGCUCUGCUGGGGGUCCCCCAAGGAGCCAGUGCGCGCUGCGGGCUGGGUGGAGGCGCUGCUCUGCCGGUCCUCAUCCUCCGGCUAGUGGCUGCUGCUGCCACCACCACCCGCUCCGUGCGCACCCCAACACCCCUGUCAGCCCAGCCUUAGGGCUACAGCAGAUGCUAAAAACAGAGCCUUGGAGAAAGAAGGUGGCUAAUGACCCCAGGAAAUCUGUCCCAUCAUCUGGGUCCCUCGAUGAAGCAUCCAAACUCAGCACAGAGAAAAUAAAUGUACAAUGGGGAGAGAAAUCAUUCUCUGUACCACCAUCACCAUGAAGGUUACCAUCAGCACACACUCAAGGAAGAAAACAAGCCUGAAUCCAAAGAAGAUGCAGCUUAAGAUCACUGAACUAUGAAGACAAAUAUCUGAAUGUUUAAACACAUAAAGAAUUUCCCCUUUCAAUCCACAUAGCCUCAUGCUGUCAAGAACUUCGCAGGACUCCUUAUUAAGAGCUGACAGGCUUUGCUUGCAAGCAGGCUUCCCCCAUCUCUAGCAAUACAGAAGGUAUUGGUACAUUCCUAUUUUUCUCCAAACAUAGGAGGAGGAUUGCAACCUACUGACUUCGAACCACCAUGAAAAUGACAGAUUGCUACUUUGUGAUAAUUGUCAUAAGAUUCCAUGCCUGAAACUGAGAUGUUUUCUUCUUCUUUUCCCACUUCUUCUAUUUCAAGUGACCCUAUUAAUGAUAGAUCUCUACUUGAAAUAAUUGGCUAUUCUAAAACUGAGAAAUAAGCACUUUCCUGUCCUCAUUGUUUUUCCUUCUUUAUCUCUAACAGCCCCAGAGGAUCACAAACAUUUGUCCUCAGGGCAAUAUCAGCGGUUAAUGAUUCAUGUUCAAAGUCUGUGAGUUGUCUAAUUAACAAAAGGCAAUGUUUUACAGAAGCCAUUUUUGCUUUCAAGUUAAUAGCACGCAGCAGAUACAAAUGCUACAAUGCCAUGCAGGUCUUCAAGGCUGUGGUACACUACUGUUUCUAAAGGUUCCAGAUUUAUUUAUCCGACCCAAACUUCAAGCCAUUAAAAACAAAGCACUCUCGUGUGUUUCCUUUUGAAUGAUUGGCAGUCUUACAGCACUAUUCACAUAUCACGUCCUCCUGUAAUGUACUCAUAAAAUUUAUGUUUCAGUUCUUAUUAAAUGGGGCACUUGAUUAAUGAAAAUAAUAUGAGCUUAUUUUCUGUCAACUAUAUUCAUAACAAUAUCAGUCAUUAAAGAAAUCAGAAUCUUUAAAAUAACCCAAUCAUCUUUUAAUAUAAAUGGUGACACAUAUGAAAUAUUUC